CCUACGGGAGGCAGCAGUAGGGAAUAUUGCUCAAUGGGGGAACCCCUGAAGCAGCACAGCCGCGUGGAGGAUUAAGGUUUUCGGAUUGUAAACUCCUUUUGUUAGAGAAGAUAAUGACGGUAUCUAACGAAUAAGAACCGGCUAACUCCGUGCCACCAGCCGCGGUAAUAUGGAGGGUGCAAGCGUUACUCGGCAUCACUGGGCGUAAAGCGCGCGUAGGCGGGGGAGCAAGUCAGAGGUGAAAUCCUAUGGCUUAACCAUAGAACUGCAUUUGAAACUGUUAUUCUAGAGUAUGGGAGAGGUAUGUGGAAUUCUUGGUGUAGGGGUAAAAUCCGUAGAGAUCAAGAGGAAUACUCAUGGCGAAGGCGACCUGCUAGAACAUAACUGACGCUGAUGCGCGAAAGCGUGGGGAGCAAACAGGAUUAGAUACCCGUGUAGUC
rnacentral:rRNA from 1 species